UACGUAGGUCCCGAGCGUUGUCCGGAUUUAUUGGGCGUAAAGCGAGCGCAGGUGGUUUAUUAAGUCUGGUGUAAAAGGCGGUGGCUCAACCAUUGUAUGCAUUGGAAACUGGUAGACUUGAGUGCAGGAGAGGAGAGUGGAAUUCCAUGUGUAGCGGUGAAAUGCGUAGAUAUAUGGAGGAACACCGGUGGCGAAAGCGGCUCUCUGGCCUGUAACUGACACUGAGGCUCGAAAGCGAGGGGAGCAAACAGG
rnacentral:rRNA from 1 species